CAGAAUAUAUUUUAUAUAAAAUAUUAAUUUUGGAGAUUAAAGAUGAGGAUUCCUUUUAUUCUGA
rnacentral:tRNA from 1 species